GUUUCUCUAGUGUAGCGGUUAUCACGUUCGCCUCACACGCGAAAGAUCCCCGGUUCGAGACCGGCAGAAACA
rnacentral:tRNA from 1 species